rnacentral:rRNA from 1 species
CGGACAUAGAAUAUUUGCCUAAUUCCUUAAAAGGAAUUAAACACCCAAAAGCGGACAUAAAACUUUGCCGAAUUCCUCAAAAGCAAUUAACACCUACCAUCUCUCACAAAACAACCAAUAAAAUUUACUAAUUACACAAUAAUUACUAUACAAACCAAAGUAAAGAAAACAUUUCAAUAAAUAACUUAAAUAACAAAAAAUUAAAAAAAGAACAAAUAAAAUUUUAACAUAAUCAAAUAGAAAAUCACCAUAAAAUCCACAAAACUAAAUUAAACUCAGACAAUUAUAAAAGCAGAACAAGGAGCUAAUCCCCCUUAAUCUUAACAUCAAAUAAAAAUAAAUAAAUCAACAACAGAAAUUAAAUAAGAUGUAUGAAUUAAAUUCAUUUCUUGAAAAACCAGAAACCAC